AGACCCGAAACCCGGUGAUCUAGCCAUGGGCAGGUUGAAGGUUGGGUAACACUAACUGGAGGACCGAACCGACUAAUGUUGAAAAAUUAGCGGAUGACCUGUGGCUGGGGGUGAAAGGCCAAUCAAACCGGGAGAUAGCUGGUUCUCCCCGAAAGCUAUUUAGGUAGCGCCUCGUGAAUUCAUCUCCGGGGGUAGAGCACUGUUUCGGCUAGGGGGCCAUCCCGGCUUACCAACCCGAUGCAAACUGCGAAUACCGGAGAAUGUUAUCACGGGAGACACACGGCGGGUGCUAACGUCCGUCGUGAAGAGGGAAACAACCCAGACCGCCAGCUAAGGUCCCAAAGUCAUGGUUAAGUGGGAAACGAUGUGGGAAGGCCCAGACAGCCAGGAUGUUGGCUUAGAAGCAGCCAUCAUUUAAAGAAAGCGUAAUAGCUCACUGGUCGAGUCGGCCUGCGCGGAAGAUGUAACGGGGCUAAACCAUGCACCGAAGCUGCGGCAGCGACACUCAGGUGUUGUUGGGUAGGGGAGCGUUCUGUAAGCCUGUGAAGGUGGCCUGUGAGGGUUGCUGGAGGUAUCAGAAGUGCGAAUGCUGACAUAAGUAACGAUAAAGCGGGUGAAAAGCCCGCUCGCCGGAAGACCAAGGGUUCCUGUCCAACGUUAAUCGGGGCAGGGUGAGUCGACCCCUAAGGCGAGGCCGAAAGGCGUAGUCGAUGGGAAACGGGUUAAUAUUCCCGUACUUGGUGUUACUGCGAAGGGGGGACGGAGAA
rnacentral:rRNA from 1 species